rnacentral:rRNA from 1 species
CCUACGGGUGGCAGCAGUGGGGAAUAUUGGACAAUGGGCGAAAGCCUGAUCCAGCCAUGCCGCGUGUGUGAAGAAGGCCUUCGGGUUGUAAAGCACUUUCAGUGGGGAAGAAAGCCUUGGGGCUAAUACCCUCGAGGAAGGACAUCACCCACAGAAGAAGCCCCGGCUAACUCCGUGCCAGCAGCCGCGGUAAUACGGAGGGUGCGAGCGUUAAUCGGAAUUACUGGGCGUAAAGCGCGCGUAGGCGGUCUGAUAAGCCGGUUGUGAAAGCCCCGGGCUCAACCUAGGAACGGCAUCCGGAACUGUCAGGCUAGAGUGCAGGAGAGGAAGGUAGAAUUCCCGGUGUAGCGGUGAAAUGCGUAGAGAUCGGGAGGAAUACCAGUGGCGAAGGCGGCCUUCUGGACUGACACUGACGCUGAGGUGCGAAAGCGUGGGUAGCAAACAGGAUUAGAUACCCCAGUAGUC